GAUGAACGCUGGCGGUAUGCUUUACACAUGCAAGUCGUACGAGAGUCUUUAACUCAAGUGGCGGACGGGUGAGUAACACGUAAGAAUUUGCCUUUAGGAGGGGGACAACAACUGGAAACGGUUGCUAAUACCCCAUAAGCUUUCGAGUGAAAUGGAUUUUUCCGCCUAGAGAGAAGCUUGCGGCUGAUUAGCUUGUUGGUAAGGUAAUGGCUUACCAAGGCGACGAUCAGUAUCUGGUUUGAGAGGACGAUCAGACACACUGGAACUGAGACACGGUCCAGACUCCUACGGGAGGCAGCAGUGAGGAAUAUUGGACAAUGGGCGCAAGCCUGAUCCAGCCAUGCCGCGUGCAGGAUGACGGUCCUAUGGAUUGUAAACUGCUUUUAUACAGGAAGAAACACUCCCUCGUGAGGGAGCUUGACGGUACUGUAAGAAUAAGGAUCGGCUAACUCCGUGCCAGCAGCCGCGGUAAUACGGAGGAUCCAAGCGUUAUCCGGAAUCAUUGGGUUUAAAGGGUCCGUAGGCGGUCAGAUAAGUCAGUGGUGAAAGCCCAUCGCUCAACGGUGGAACGGCCAUUGAUACUGUCUGACUUGAAUUAUUAGGAAGUAACUAGAAUAUGUAGUGUAGCGGUGAAAUGCUUAGAGAUUACAUGGAAUACCAAUUGCGAAGGCAGGUUACUACUAAUAUAUUGACGCUGAUGGACGAAAGCGUGGGUAGCGAACAGGAUUAGAUACCCUGGUAGUCCACGCCGUAAACGAUGGAUACUAGCUGUUGGGAGCAAUCUCAGUGGCUAAGCGAAAGUGAUAAGUAUCCCACCUGGGGAGUACGAACGCAAGUUUGAAACUCAAAGGAAUUGACGGGGGCCCGCACAAGCGGUGGAGCAUGUGGUUUAAUUCGAUGAUACGCGAGGAACCUUACCAAGGCUUAAAUGUAGUUUGACCGGUU
rnacentral:rRNA from 1 species